AGAUUAAAAGCUUAGAGCAUCCAAACAAGGAUCAGAAUUAGCUAACGUCUACACAAUUCUAGGAAACUAUUAUAAAUGUUCCCUAAAAUCAACCAACACAUCUGUAUUUUCUACCACAAACUACGAAGCUUUGAUUUUCUCAUUGCACUAUUAGAAUAUGUAGGCACGAGGGUGAGAAUCCUUGGCGAGCACAUUAAUUAAUAAAC
rnacentral:lncRNA from 1 species